rnacentral:rRNA from 1 species
UACGUAGGUCCCGAGCGUUGUCCGGAUUUAUUGGGCGUAAAGCGAGCGCAGGUGGUUUAUUAAAUCUGGUGUAAAAGGCAGUGGCUCAACCAUUGUAUGCAUUGGAAACUGGUGGACUUGAGUGCAGGAGAGGAGAGUGGAAUUCCAUGUGUAGCGGUGAAAUGCGUAGAUAUAUGGAGGAACACCGGUGGCGAAAGCGGCUCUCUGGCCUGUAACUGACACUGAGGCUCGAAAGCGUGGGGAGCAAACAGG